CCUACGGGUGACAGCAGUGAGGAAUAUUGGUCAAUGGACGAGAGUCUGAACCAGCCAAGUAGCGUGAAGGAUGACUGCCCUAUGGGUUGUAAACUUCUUUUAUAUGGGAAUAAAAUGUUCCACGUGUGGGAUUUUGUAUGUACCAUAUGAAUAAGGAUCGGCUAACUCCGUGCCAGCAGCCGCGGUAAUACGGAGGAUCCGAGCGUUAUACGGAUUUAUUGGGUUUAAAGGGAGCGUAGGUGGAUUGUUAAGUCAGUUGUGAAAGUUUGCGACUCAACCGUAAAAUUGCAGUUGAAACUGGCAGUCUUGAGUACAGUAGAGGUGGGCGGAAUUCGUGGUGUAGCGGUGAAAUGCUUAGAUAUCACGAAGAACUCCGAUUGCGAAGGCAGUUCACUGGACUGCAACUGACACUGAGGCUCGAAAGUGUGGGUAUCAAACAGGAUUAGAUACCCCUGUAGUC
rnacentral:rRNA from 1 species